CCUACGGGGGGCAGCAGUCGAGAAUCAUUCACAAUGGGGGAAACCCUGAUGGUGCGACGCCGCGUGCGGGAAUGAAGGUCUUUGGAUUGUAAACCCCUUUCAUGUGGGAGCAAAUUAAAAAGAUAGUACCACAAGAGGAAGAGACGGCUAACUCUGUCCCAGCAGCCGCGGUAAUACAGAGUUUUCAAGCGUUGUUCGGAAUCACUGGGCGUAAAGCAUUCGUAGGCUGUUUCGUAAGUAGUGUGUGAAAGGCGCGGGCUGAACCCGCGGACGGCACAUGAUACUGCGAGACUAGAGAAAUGGAGGGGGAACCGGAAUGCUCGGGGUAGCAGUGAAAUGCGUAGAGAGCGAGAGGAACACUCGUGGCGAAGGCGGGUUCCUGGACAUUAACUGACGCUGAGGCACGAAGGCCAGGGGAGCGAAAGGGAUUAGAUACCCGGGUAGUC
rnacentral:rRNA from 1 species